rnacentral:rRNA from 1 species
ACUUUCUUUAUUUUAAAUAAAGAAUUUAAUUUUUAAGUUAAAAGGCUUAAAUUUAUUUGUGGGACGAGAAGACCCUAUAGAACUUUAUUUUAAUUAUUAUAUUUUGUUUUUGGUUGAUAAAAAUUUAAUAUUUUAAUUAAAAUUUUGUUGGGGUGACAUGGAAAAUUAUAUAACUUUUCAUUAUUCUUUCAUUAAUUAGUGUUUUAUUGAUCCAAUAUUAUUGAUUAUAAGAUUAAGUUACCUUAGGGAUAACAGCGUAAUUCUUUUGGAGAGUUCUUAUCGAUAAAAGAGUUUGCGACCUCGAUGU